rnacentral:rRNA from 1 species
UGCAAGUCGAACGAGAUCUUCGGAUCUAGUGGCAGACGGGUGCGUAACGCGUGGGAACCUGCCCUUUAGUAAGGAAUAACUCAGGGAGACUUGUGCUAAUACCUUAUAAUCCCUUCGGGGGAAAGCUUUAUGCGCUAAUGGAUGGGCCCGCGUUAGAUUAGCUUGUUGGUGAGGUAAUGGCUCACCAAGGCGACGAUCUAUAGCUGGUCUGAGAGGAUGAUCAGCCACACUGGGACUGAGACACGGCCCAGACUCCUACGGGAGGCAGCAGUGGGGAAUACUGGACAAUGGGGGCAACCCUGAUCCAGCCAUUCCGCGUGAGUGAAGAAGGCCUUCGGGUUGUAAAGCUCUUUCGCAAGAGAAGAAAACUUGCUAUCUAAUAAAUAGUAAGUAUGACGGUAUCUUGACAAGAAGCACCGGCUAACUGCGUGCCAGCAGCCGCGGUAAUACGUAGGGUGCAAGCGUUAAUCGGAAUUACUGGGCGUAAAGCGUGCGCAGGCAGUUUUAUAAGUCAGAUGUGAAAUCCCCGAGCUCAACUUGGGAACUGCGUUUGAAACUGUAAGACUAGAGUGUGUCAGAGGGGGGUAGAAUUCCAAGUGUAGCAGUGAAAUGCGUAGAGAUUUGGAGGAAUACCAAUGGCGAAGGCAGCC